CACACACACACACACACACACACACACACACACAUAUAUAUAUAUAUACGUAUGUAUGUAUACAUAAUAAAUAUAUAUAUGUAUAUAUAUAUAUAUAUGUGUGUGUGUGUGUGUGUGUGUGUGUGUGUGUGUGUG
rnacentral:pre_miRNA from 1 species